UUGGCAUGUAACCUAAUCAUUGCCUAACACUUUCUGAAGGUCUUCCAGUCUCAGUCCAAUAUAAAUCGGUAAACUGCCACCGUUCCUCAGUGGUCCAACAUGAUUUGGCUCGUGGCUUUGCUGUCCUGCUUUGGGUUGAUCUGUGCUGAAGCACCCCUCAACCAUAAUGUGCACAAU